AUCUUAUGCUGCUUUAAUAGAAAGACAGUAUGCCACAUGAUGAAAAGUAAUUGUUUCCGUGUUUUCUGUUACUAGUAUCAUAUAUAUAAUCAUCUUAAUACCUAAUUUUUAUUCUUGACUCUUCAAUCAAAAGAGUGGUAUUCUUCAGUGUCUGAGGAAGAUCUGGCUGUAUUGGACUUAAUACAUUAUGAAUUAAAUGUUGGUCUCAAAUUUACCAGAUCAUUUAUUGAUGCCUGUGAGGGAUCCAGAUAGUAUGCUUGUGAUUCACAUACCUUAGUCCACUAGGCUUCUGGCCAUAACAGAGUAUGAAGAAGGAGCAGAGAACAGAAGUCCGUGGAGUGGUGAAAUAAGAGACCAACCCUAUCUGGGGAAUCUAGGAAGAAGUACUCCAAUGGAUUGAUUCAAAAUGGAUCCUGAAGGGUGAAUAGGAAUAUUCUGUGCACGAAGAGGUAUGACAUGCAUCCAAGGUGGAGAAAAUCAAACUGCUGUGUAAAAUGUGGAGGAGUUAGGUCUGUGUGAAGAAUGGAAUUUAAAUUUGGUAAAAGGGCAUGCUGUGAGAUGGGGAAUAGU
rnacentral:lncRNA from 1 species